rnacentral:rRNA from 1 species
UAUUGGAGGUUGGACCUGUCCCCUGAAAAAUUUUAAAGGACCRCGGUAUUUUGACCGUGCAAAGGUAGCAUAAUCAUUAGUCUUUUAAUUGAGGGCUGGAAUGAAUGGUUUGACGAAAUAAUGACUGUCUCAAAUAUAAUGAAAUUAAAUUUUACUUUUGAGUUAAAAGGCUUAAAUAUUAAUAAGGGACGAGAAGACCCUAUAGAUCUUUAUGAUAGGAAAUAUAUUAUUAAUUUUAKAUGUUAUAAUUAUUAUAUAAUUUUUAUUAUUUUAUUGGGGUGAKAKGAGAAUAUAAAAACUUCUUAAUUUUUAACUUUGAUAGAGGGAUAAUAUAUAACUGAUCCUUUAAUAUGGAAUUAAGAUUAAGAUACCUUAGGGAUAACAGCGUAAUCUUGWUGGAGAGUUCUUAUUGAUAAUARGGAUUGCGACCUCGAWGUUGGAUUAAAAAUAUAAGUUGGAGUAAGUGUUAAUGUUAUGAGCCUGCUC